AUUGAACGCUGGCGGCAGGCUUAACACAUGCAAGUCGAGCGAGCGGCGGACGGGUGAGUAAUGUCUGGGAAACUGCCUGAUGGAGGGGGAUAACUACUGGACACGGUAGCUAAUACCGCAUACCAUCAGAUGUGCCCAGAGGGUAUUAGCUAGUAGGUGGGGGAAUGGCUCACCUAGGCGACGAUCCCUAGCUGGUCUGAGAGGAGGACCAGCAACACUGGAACUGAGCAACUGUCCAGACUCCUACGGGAGGCAGCAGUGGGGAAUAGUGCACAAGGGGCGCAAGCCUGAUGCAGCCAGGCCGCGUGUGUGAAGAAGGCCUUCGGGUUGUAAAGCACUUUCAGCGAGGAGGCGUUACUCGCAGAAGAAGCACCGGCUAAUUCCGUGCCAGCAGCCGCGGUAAUUC
rnacentral:rRNA from 1 species